rnacentral:rRNA from 1 species
AUUAAAUGUAAAAAUUAAUUAAAUUUUAUUAUUAAUAAAAGAAAAAAUUUUUUUUAUGAUAGUUUAUGGUAUUGUGAAAGAUUUCUUAGAAUUAAAAAAAAGAAAAAUUUAAUUUUUGUACCUUGUGUAUCAGGGUUUAUUAAAAUUUAAUUAAAAAUUUAAUAUUCUCGAAUUUAAAAGAGCUAAUAGGUUAUUAUUUAAAAUGUAUAAUAAUUUUAUUAAAUUAUUUAUUAGUAAUGAAAUGUUAUUCUUUUUUAGUUAUAUCUAGUUUUUUAAGAAAUAAAUUUAAUUUAAUUAUUUGUAAUAUAAAUUUUUAUUUUUAUAAUUAUAUUAUUAAUAAUUAAUAUAUAUAGGGAUUAGCUUAUAUAUAAAUUAUUAUUAGAUUUAAAUUAUUUAAAAAUUUUAGGAUUAAAAAUAUCUAUAAUUAAAGUAUAUUAUAAUUUAUUUAUUUUUUAUAUAAUUUAAAUUUUCUAUUAUUUUUAUAUUAAAAUUUAUUUUAAAAUUAUAAUUAAUUAUUAAUAAUGAUAAAAUUAGUAUAAUAUUUUAUUAAAAUUUAUAAGAUUAUUAAGGUUAAUUUAAGGAACUCGGCAAAUAAGUUUUUCACCUGUUUAAUAAAAACAUGUCUUUUUGAGUAUAAUUUAAAGUCUAGCCUGCCCACUGAGAUUUUAAAGGGCCGCAGUAUUUUGACUGUGCUAAGGUAGCAUAAUCAUUAGUUUUUUUAUUGAAAGCUGGAAUGAAGGGUUGAAUGAAAAAAUUACUGUCUCAAAUUAAUUUUUUUAAAAUUUUAUUUUUAAGUUAAAAAGCUUAAAUAUUUUUAAAAGACGAGAAGACCCUAUAGAGUUUUAUAAUUAAAUUUUAAUAAAAAAUUAGAAUUAAUUUUUUAUUGAUAUUUAUUUAUUUAAUUGGGGUGAUUAAAAAAUAUACUAAACUUUUUUUUUAUUGAUAUAUAAAUUAAUAGUUUUAUGAUCCAAAAAUUUUGAGUGUAAGAUUAAAUUACCUUAGGGAUAACAGCGUAAUUUUAUUAAAGAGUUCUAAUCGAUAAUAAAGAUUGCGACCUCGAUGUUGGAUUAAAAUUUAAAUUUGGUGUAGAAGCUAAGUUUUUAAGUCUGUUCGACUUUUAAAAUUUUACAUGAUCUGAGUUUAAACCGGUGUGAGCCAGGUUGGUUUCUAUCUUUAAAUAAAGUUUAUAUUUUAGUACGAAAGGACCAAAUUUAAAUAAUACUUAUUUUUAUUGAUUAAAUAU